GAUGAACGCUGGCGGCGUGCCUAAUACAUGCAAGUAGAACGCUGAAGGAGGAGCUAGCUCUUCUGGAUGAGUUGCGAACGGGUGAGUAACGCGUAGGUAACCUGCCUGGUAGCGGGGGAUAACUAUUGGAAACGAUAGCUAAUACCGCAUGACAACAGUUAUUGCAUGAUAACUGUUUAAAAGGGGCAACUGCUCCACUACCAGAUGGACCUGCGUUGUAUUAGCUAGUUGGUGAGGUAACGGCUCACCAAGGCGACGAUACAUAGCCGACCUGAGAGGGUGAUCGGCCACACUGGGACUGAGACACGGCCCAGACUCCUACGGGAGGCAGCAGUAGGGAAUCUUCGGCAAUGGACGGAAGUCUGACCGAGCAACGCCGCGUGAGUGAAGAAGGUUUUCGGAUCGUAAAGCUCUGUUGUAAGAGAAGAACGAGUGUGAGAGUGGAAAGUUCACACUGUGACGGUAUCUUACCAGAAAGGGACGGCUAACUACGUG
rnacentral:rRNA from 1 species